AUGACUUCCAGCUGGAGCAGCCCAGCCAGCCUGCGCGCUCACUCGCUUGCUUGCGCUGGGCUUCAGGGCGCCCGGGUUUUUCUGUGGACCUAAAUUUUCAUUUCUCUGGGAUAAAUGUCCAGGAGUGUGAUUGCUGGGUCAUAUGGACACUCAGUGAUACAGAAUUGAAAAAGAGAAAGACCAGAUUUCCCAUGGAGAUGGAGAAAUUGGAAGCCCAGAUGAGGAACCAUCUCAUAUAAGCAAGCUUAUGUGUUUUGAUUUCGUGUUCAGAUAUUCUUAUCAAUGAUUUCCAGAAAGUGACAUUGAUUUGCUUUGGAAACAAUGAUGGAAAAACAGUGAGUGUGUACCGGAAUGCUUUUAGAGUUCUAAAAUCAUACUGGAAAAUGUCCGAGCAUUCCAACACAGCUAUAAACAGUACCAUGCUGUAUUUAUGGGGGGUGGCAAGUCUGUUUUUAAAAGUCUUUGCGAUAUUUUUUCUAUGUUUUUAAUUUAUUGAAUUAAAGCCAGAUUUAUUCAAUUAAGAUAAUACACUUCAAAGUUAACUGCCAUUUGCUGUUCAUUUAGGCAAGCUAUUGUACAGUUAUGUAAAUUUCAUGAACAGAGACACUACUUGAGUGUCUUAAUUACAAGCAGAAAGUGUCAUUUAAAUAUGAAUUAAGUGAAUAGUUGCCUGUAUUUCCUGUUUCUGUAUUUUCUGUCUUCUGCCCAAUGAUCCAUACUGUGUUAGAAGAUUUUUCUUUUUCCUGUGAAAGAAAAACACCUCCACUAUGAAAUAUUAAAAAAAAAAAA
rnacentral:lncRNA from 1 species